CUAAGAGCAGCAGCAAUCACGCACUCCUCCAAAAGACACUACAAAUAUCUCAACAAACACAAACUCUUGUUCACAAGAAAACCUUGAUCUUAAACUACAUCUCCUCCCGACUAUGGUCUCCACAGCACCACCGCAAUCUCUCUCGCCUCGCACCACCACCACCGACCUCCAAGCCCUCCUCGAUGACGCGCGGCCCUUCCUGCGUGGGGAGCUUGAGGUCAUCGACCCGCGCCUCCCUCCCUUGUGGCCACUCUCCGCUCGGCCGGUGUCGGGGAGUGCUGGCACAAGACCACCAGCUUCCUUGAGCACCACGUCAACACUUACCGCAUCCUCCGUCUCUGGGGGCCCCUGACGCCGUCUGCCUCGCCGGCAUGUUCCACUCCGCCUACUCCCCUACCCCACCAUUGACCUGGCCCUCUUCGAACCCAACACCAGCCGUGACGUCGUCCGCAGCCAUGUGGGCGAUGCUGCCGAGCGCCUCGUCUACCUCUACUGCGUUCUCCCGAAGGUGACUUUUAUCUUCGACGACCUGCUCUUCCGCUACGACGACUUGGAGCUUGUCGAGCAUCUGAAGUUCUCAGAGAUGUCCCUCCAGAAUGCCAAGAAGAAGGGAGAGUUCAAAGGCGAUGAGGCCUGGCGGACGAAGGUCCAGUCUCUGUUGCCUGCACAGGGGGUAUUGAUGAAGGACGGAAAGACCGGAGAGGACGUGCUCGUUUCGAGGAGGGUGGUCGCCAUUCUCUUGAUAAUGAUCAUGGCCGAUUUCAGCGAUUACUUCUUUGGAUUUCAGGACACGCUGUUCGAGAACAGCGACGGGCGGUUGGAGUUAACCGGGAACAAUUUCUGGGCAUUGUGGCCCGGGGAUGGAAAGCCCGGGCUCUGGAUGAACUCGAUGUCGAGGAUGGCCGCAGUCUACAUGCUCAUAGCGAGAGAGGAAGAGAUCUCCAUGCUCGAGAAGAAGAUGGACACAAGCAACGCCGACUCCAAGCUGCCAUCCAAAGAGCGGGAUGAGGACAUCCAACUCGUGGUGCCGCCGGUGUUCCAGUCGUGCUCGAGGGUCCUUGGCACGAGGGACCAGAUCGAGGCGAGGGACAAGUACUGGGAAGCGGUGUGCCAGGCGAGCAAGUCGGGAGGAGCUGAGCAUUACGACGCGGUGGAAAGGAGGCUAAGGGAAAGCAUCAAGAAGAACCCGUUCAUCGGGGAGCCACGGGUGGUGCUGGGGCAGCUGUGCCUGGGGAAAGGGCGGUACGAGGAGGCGGAGACGGAGGCCGAGGCCGGGCUGAGGCUGCUGCUGGAGUGGGGGACUCCCUGGGACAAGAGGAUGUCCUGGGAAGCGUGGGUAGCCUGGGCUAGGGUUUUGCUCAGGAAGGCCAGAGAGAGGUCCUGGCCUAACACCUCUCGGGAAAUUCUCCUUCUGGGGAUGGUGAGGUGAUCAGAAGCUUUAUGUGUUCGAGCUUAUAUAUCGUUUGUGGCGAUCGCGAGCCGUAAUGUUUCUUAGUAAAUGGAUGAAUAUGUUAGAGAUAUUCAUCUGGCCAUUCACAUCUGUAUAGUGCUGCUCAUGUAAUAUUGAAUCGAAAUAAAACACCCUUGCUUUAGCUUCUAA